AUGUAGUUGGUCGGUAUGGGAUCCCCAUUUUGGAGUUCUUUGGAGGUGUUUCCUCAUUUUGGGGGUCAGUAGAGGGUUCCUUAUGGUGGGUAUCAGUAGAGGAUACUGAUGUUGGAAGUCAGUGAGGUCUACCCAUGUAGUUGGUCAUUUAGUUAAUCAGUAUCAGUUCUUUAUGUUGGGGUCAGUGAGGACCCUAAGUAGUUGGCUAAUGAGGACCCCCACCCCAUUUAGUUGGUAAGUAGCCGUUCCUU